rnacentral:rRNA from 1 species
CCUCUGGUGUUCCGGUUGUCACGCCAGUGGCAUUGCCGGGUAGCUAUGUUCGGAAGCGAUAACCGCUGAAAGCAUCUAAGCGGGAAGCGCGCCUCAAGAUGAGAUCUCCCGGGACACAAGUCCCCUAAAGGAACCAUGUAGACUACGUGGUUGAUAGGUCAGGUGUGUAAGUGCAGCAAUGCAUUGAGCUAACUGAUACUAAUGAUCCGUGCGGCUUGACCAUAUAACCUCAAGG